ACUGAAACUCCAACACGCUCAAAAAAAUCUUAACAACACCCCUACAUACACAAAUACGCAACAAAGGGCGAAAUGUGCAUAAACAUUUACCUCAACUCUUCUUUCGUACAGCACCCUGAAUGAUAGAAAGAAACAACCAAAGUUAUCGUGUUUAAACAAGUUUUGUUUUGAGCUAUAUCAUGGCUGCUUGCGAAGUAUUAUUUUGCGUUUUAUUUAAAUCAGUGAUCUGAUUACAGUAAUACUUCAAUGCAUUGUCAAUUCGAAGCACGUAAUAGAAGCUACGCCAUCAAUGGUCAACAUCAAGGGCGAAACCAUUGAAUACGUAAAUAAUUGUUGAAUAUAAUAAUAUUAUCUUGCCUUAAAUUCUAAAAUUUUCCAUACAGAUAUUUCAAACCUCAUACGGCGCGUUAAAGGUACGCAAGCUAAUUGGUGUCACUUGUGGUAGCAGCGUAGAACUUUCGAAUCGAUGGAAUAUGUGCUGCAAGCAAAUCCAGAACUAUGGAUGCAAACGCUGCUACAUCGAACACAAAUCAUUUACACACCAGUUAUUAGGUUUAAUGUCACUUUUUUACGUGCAAUUAAACCUUUUGCUCAACACAAGCCCGGGAAGAACUGAAACGACAUGGUUUUAGUGCUUUUGUAACCGUUUGUCAUCGCGACGUGUGUAAACUGGGUUUUGCCAACGAGCUAGAGGGCAAAGCAGUUGCAGUAUUUUUAGAAUUACCGGGCGCUCAGUUGGCCGUAUCAUUAGCAGCUAAAACUCAGAAAUUAAAGGGUAACUUUAAGUGAAUGUUUGUGAUCGUAAAAAUUUAAAAACUUCUUUUACUUUUUUUAAUUCAUUUUCACCUUGUAUUGAGUAAUCAUAACGUUGUUGUAUCGCUUUACAAGGACAUGGAUUCACCGAAAUUAGUUCAAUGGAAACACUACAGCAAGAGCAUGGAUGUUAUGACUAGAACGUCGCCGUGCUAUAUUUAGAAUUCCUGAAACAUAAGAAACCCUCCUCCCAGAAAUUUGAUGAAUCACUUUUGUAGAUUUGUCUUGAAAAUGGAUGCGGAUGAUUCAAAUGAUGCGCGAAAAAGAAAAAACUCGAUAGAUGACUCCACUUAUGAGAAUGAAGUAGAAAAAAGAAAAGAAUAUGAUAAUCGAUACAGAGAGAAACACCCACAUAAGUCAGAAUUGGCGAAACAAGCGAACAAAGAUUAUAGUAAACGAUACAGAGAUAAACAAAGAACGUUAAAUUUAUUAUCAACUGAACAAACAUUUGUACAACAAAAUGUAAACGCGCCAUAAGUUUAAGUUUUCACUUCUGCCUGCACUUCCGGAGCGCAACCCCACUAGGUUUUUAUUUAUUUAAUUGUAUGAGGUAUUUACAUUUAUAAAUUAGUAUGGUAUUUUAUAUUUUUAAUAAUUAUUAUAGAUUAAUUUUUAUAUAUUAACAUUUCAGUAGAAAGUAAACUUUAAUUUUUACAAACG